AUUGAACGCUGGCGGCAGGCUUAACACAUGCAAGUCGAGCGGAGAUGAGGUGCUUGCACCUUAUCUUAGCGGCGGACGGGUGAGUAAUGCUUAGGAAUCUGCCUAUUAGUGGGGGACAACAUUCCGAAAGGAAUGCUAAUACCGCAUACGCCCUACGGGGGAAAGCAGGGGAUCUUCGGACCUUGCGCUAAUAGAUGAGCCUAAGUCGGAUUAGCUAGUUGGGGGGGUAAAGGCCUACCAAGGCGACGAUCUGUAGCGGGUCUGAGAGGAUGAUCCGCCACACUGGGACUGAGACACGGCCCAGACUCCUACGGGAGGCAGCAGUGGGGAAUAUUGGACAAUGGGCGGAAGCCUGAUCCAGCCAUGCCGCGUGUGUGAAGAAGGCCUUUUGGUUGUAAAGCACUUUAAGCGUGGAGGAGGCUACCUGGAUUAAUACUCUAGGAUAGUGGACGUUACUCGCAGAAUAAGCACCGGCUAACUCUGUGCCAGCAGCCGCGGUAAUAC
rnacentral:rRNA from 1 species